rnacentral:rRNA from 1 species
GAACGCUGGCGGCGUGCUUAACACAUGCAAGUCGAGCGGAAAGGCCCUUCGGGGUACUCGAGCGGCGAACGGGUGAGUAACACGUGAGUAACCUGCCCCUGACUCUGGGAUAAGCCCGGGAAACUGGGUCUAAUACCGGAUACGACACGCUCCCGCAUGGGAUGCGUGUGGAAAGUUUUUUCGGUCGGGGAUGGACUCGCGGCCUAUCAGCUUGUUGGUGGGGUAACGGCCUACCAAGGCGACGACGGGUAGCCGGCCUGAGAGGGCGACCGGCCACACUGGGACUGAGACACGGCCCAGACUCCUACGGGAGGCAGCAGUGGGGAAUAUUGCGCAAUGGGCGGAAGCCUGACGCAGCGACGCCGCGUGGGGGAUGACGGCCUUCGGGUUGUAAACCUCUUUCAGCAGGGACGAAGUUGACGUGUACCUGCAGAAGAAGCGCCGGCUAACUACGUGCCAGCAGCCGCGGUAAUACGUAGGGCGCAAGCGUUGUCCGGAAUUAUUGGGCGUAAAGAGCUCGUAGGUGGCUU